rnacentral:lncRNA from 1 species
UUACUAUCGAUCCUUCUUGGCUAACGGAGGCUGCACCACAUUUUUACCAGAAGCAGCUGCAUAGUUCUGUUCCUCAAUGAUGCACAAAAUUUUCAAAGAUGCUUCUUGGCAGCCUCAGUUUUGUCUGAAAAUUUUGUUAUGUGUAAACCUUUUUAAAUAAAUUGUAAAUUGGCUAUACUUUCUCUCUAUGGUGGAGCUACGUAGGCUCGAGGGAGGUCAGUUAAACGUCUUUCGCUUGAAAAUUCUACUGUGUAUAUAGGUCGAAUAUUACUUUUCUGUACAUUAUAUUAUAUUGAAUAUUGAACAUUCUUAACGAAAUUGCUCCCUUUGCCAUUGUUUAAAUCUCAUUUAGAUUUAAAAAUAAAAUAAAAAAUUGGGGUAGCGGAAGGGGAAAUGGAGAGGGAAUUACAAUGUGGAGAACCGAACCCUCGCCAACAACGCGGGAGUUCAGGUAGCCAAUCAACUGAGCUGCUAAGAUUCACCAAAUCGCGUUUAGAUGUUAUAAACAAAAUUACAAAAAAAAUUGUUUUCUUGUACUAAGAAGAUGAAAUGUAUUUGUUAAUCAAUUUAACAAAGACACUUUGGAUAUUUCUUUCCCACAACAACACAAUAAUAUUGACAAUGUAGCCAUUAAAUAGUUUUGUUUAGAGGGAAAUUAUUAGCUUUUGUGCUUUUUUUUUAUAUUAGUUUUCUCAUAUGUAGGUCGUUGAUCAAAUCAUAUCAAAAUAUUAUUUUCUUUUAAUAUGUUUUUCUUUAUCGUCUAAUUUAUCAUCAUCAAUGUGUUUGCAAUUACUAGCUUUCCACAUGUCGCAUUGAUUAUUUGGAUCCCAACAAGUUCUUGUUUACUUAUUUGUAUUCCGAAUCCUUCUUGAUUUUGCCACUAUAAUACUAAGCAUGAAAGAAUAAGUCUUGGUAUACAAAUUUAAUCAACAUGAUAAUACUCAACUUAGUACAUAAUUGUAUUUUCUUGAAUUAUAAGUAGAGUACAACACACACUCAUAGAAAUUACUUACUAACGGAUAUAUAAUGUGUACGCAAAUCUUAUCUCUAACUUGGAAGGUAGAGAGACUGUCUUCGAUAAUAAUGUGUACGUAGAUCUUACCUCUAACUCGAAAGGUAGAGAGACCGUCUUCGAUAAGCCUUAACUCAAUCAAAAAUAUAUAUUAAAGCAGUUGGAGAACACACAAUACAAUUAGUACAUACUCUUAACUAAUAAUUAGGAAGUAUAAUAUUUGCAAAUGUCAAGCAACUGAUCACCAAACUCACAACCUCUUUUGUAUACUAAGUUCAUAAUCAGGGGCGGAGCUACCCUUAUGCAAGAGGGUUUAUCCGAACCUUUACAUAUUUAUUUUUGAACUCUCUUAAUGAAAAUCCUGAUUGUCCAAAAUAAUUUUUAUAUAUUUAAUUUAUGUGGUUGUAAAUCAUUUUAUUAAGGAUAAAAAGAAAUUUUUAAAGUUAAAUUGUUUCUAAUUAUAAUAAAGUGACGUAAUUUUCAUCACCAAAGGAUGUGGUGCAGUGGAUGGACUGCUCUUCUCUUAACCAGAGAGGUCUCGGGUUUGAGUCCUGGGUAUGAAAAAAUCUUUGGUAAGGAGCGCUACCCCUCGAAUGGGGCUCUACUCGGCGCGAAUCUAGACUAGUGGGCUCCAAUGUGGAUAUCAGACAUCAGAUGGGAAACGAAAAAAAAAAAAAACCAUAAUUUUCGAUCGAGAUGGACAAAAAAAAGGGAUCGAUGUCAUAUAAAAUGGGACGAAAAGAGUACUAUUACUAUUGUAGAUUCACCCUUGAUUAACAUGUAUUUGAGAUUUUCAAUGUUGCGAUAAUUAAUAUUAUUUAAGAUUUCACAAUUUUAAUAUGGUAUCAGAGCAAACCAACCUUCAUUAGCCGCCUUAGGUAUAACGUUCACAGGGAUUUCUGGAAUUGAAAAUGGAAAUGCAGCAACCUGUAAGGAUAUUAUUAUUGGAAAAAUAGCCAAAGAAAGGCAAACCAACAGAAAUGUCUUGGAACUACAACUCAUUUUUCCUUUUUUUCUUUAAAGAUUAAUUAGUAUUUUAU